CAUUCCAAACUAUGAACUGCACACAUCACUCCAUCACUCCCCUUCAUUCCCCCUUCGGUGGGCUGGAGAGGAAAAUUGGAGGCACAAAAGGUAAAGAUCAUAGAUUGAGAUAAGAGCA